rnacentral:lncRNA from 12 species
GGAGCCUCGCUGCUCCCACAUGCUGUUUGCAAUGUUUUACAUCUACCUCGGCAAACCUGCCAGGCGUUCUGGCUGGAUGAUGCUGUUCACAUUCUGAAUGCUCGUGUUUACCCACCUCUCUGCUGAACAAAUUUACAAGAAGACUUCACUGGAGCUCAGAGAUCUUCAUUAGCCUAGGGAUAUGGAGCUGUGUGAGUGGUCAGGUUGCCACUCAAAGUCAGAGCCAUCUGAUCCCCAAGUCCCCCCCACCCCCGACCGGCCACUGUGCGCAUCACCUCCCAGAGGAACCUGCUCUUAGGUGACCCAGCUUUGCUUCCUGCCAGCUCUGCUAUCUCAGGUGUUUGUAUCCACUCAGCCCAGGCUCGAGACACCUGGAGUGAAGAAGGUUUCAGGAUGACCCCAGCACCCACUAUCUACCUUCUGACUGCAGGUGCAAGAGAGACUCCCCAGGGAGAAUUGCCCAGGUGAACCCAGGCAAACCC